AGGAGGCUUGGUCUUCCUGCAUCUGCAGGGAUACUGGUUUUAAACAGUGAGUUGGAGGAUGUGGGUCUCAUCUACACUGUGCAUAAGAAGGGCAUUUCCAAGCCCCAGGUUUCCCUUUCCUCUUUCCUCGGGCUCAGAAUCCUUCUCUGCUGCAGGCAGGCCACGCUGGCAUACCUGGAAGAGGAAAAGCAGACAAAAGCCUCUGAGCCUCGGACUAACCACUGCCUCUGUCCUCAGCAGGACCCCCAGCAAGGAGACCUGAAGAGAUGAUGCUGGAUCUUCUGGGACCAUUUCCUCUCCCUCUGGUGCUGCUGGGAUCAUGGGGGCCAGUGCCACUUGCUGCUAGUCCUCCAAACCUGAAAGGGCUCAAGGGUUUGAAAUUCAGCAUGUAAGAGCAGGUCCUGUCCAAUGCAAGACAGAAAUGAGUGGGGCCAAUAAUUAUACUCAGACUUGUAAACCUUCAAACACCUUUCUGCACAACACCUUCCAGAACGCGGCUGCUACCUGUCUUUUGCCCAAGACAGACUGUGAGACUGGCCAGAAAAACUGUUACUGGAGUGUGAAUUGUAUUAACAUGACUUACUGCUGUCACUCUGGAUGGACAGUGUGACUGCCGCUACAAGGCUACGCUCCAGAACCCGUUCUACCUUUUUAAAUGUAACAAGUUUCAGCCAGGUUUCCCUUCCAAUAGUAUGCUUCCUGUACACUUAAACAGUACCAGAUCACAGCCCCCUGGAUAGUUUGAUUAGACUACAUUUCCCAUUACUUUGCCUCACACUUGGUGCAGGUUCUCUUGUGCUCCCUUCUGCCUUUUUUUUUUUUUUUUUCAUUGUUGAUUUCCAUGGUUCCCAUAGAAGAAAGAAGGAGGGCAGUGAGAGAAUUAUGGGGCCAUGAUGCCAGACCAGAGCUGGGGACAAAAACAAAUAGCAUUCCUUUCUGCUUUGGAGCUUUGUGUGUUUUGGAGAAGGGUAAUAGGGAAAGGGGCAAGGAAAGACCCAAGCCCCCAUAUUUUUAAUCUUGGGACAUCAUCCAAGUUUGUGGCAUUCUGUUCACAGUAAUAGAAUCACUUUCUGCUGCAUUGUAA